rnacentral:rRNA from 1 species
AACAAUUCUUCUUUAUUUUUUUGGUUACAGUUAAUUUUAAAUAAAAUUUUAAUUUAAGAUUUGUUGGGUGAAAUUUUAAUUUUUGAUUAAAAUUGUUAAAUUUAUAUGAGGCUGAUAAAUUUCAAUUUUAAACUAGGAUUAGAUACCCUAUUAUUUGAAAUGUAAAAUUUGAAUUCUUGAAUAUUAAUAGUUAAGUUCUUUAAAAUCAAAGAUUUUGGCGGUAUUUUAGUCUUCUCAGAGGAACCUGCCCUUUAAUCGAUAAUCCACGAUUAGUCGUACUUUCUUUAGAAGUUUGCAUAUCGUCGUAGUUGAACAUUUUUUUAGAAUUUAAUGUUCAAAGUUUUUAUUAGAAAGUAAAUCAGAUCAAGGUGUAGCUUAUAGGGAAGUAGAGGUGGGUUACGUUCAUUUAUAUAUUGGAUUGUAAAUUUAAAGUUUACAUGAGUUUGGAUUUGAAAGUAAUUUUAAUUAUAUAAUUAAAUUGAUUUUAGCUCUAAAAUAUGCACAUAUCGCCCGUCGCUUUCACUUUAAAGUGAAAUAAGUCGUAACAAAGUAGGCCUACCGGAAGGUGGGCCUAGAAAGUUCAAGUUAGAGCUUGAUAUAAAGCGUUUUAUUUACAUUAAAAAGUUAGUUGUGAAAUUCAAUUUAUCUUGAGUUUAACAAAUUAUUUUUAUUUUAAUUUUGUUUGAUUUUUUCAUAAGAAUAUUUUUUUUAUUAAUACUUUAGAAAAAAAUUUUUUUAUAAUAGUUAACUGUGUACUGUGAAGGAACUUUUAUAAACUUAAAUAAGAAAAUAAAUUUGU